rnacentral:rRNA from 1 species
ACGGGAGGCAGCAGUGGGGAAUAUUGGACAAUGGGGGAAACCCUGAUCCAGCGACGCCGCGUGAGUGAAGAAGUAUUUCGGUAUGUAAAGCUCUAUCAGCAAGGAAGAAAAUGACGGUACUUGACUAAGAAGCCCCGGCUAACUACGUGCCAGCAGCCGCGGUAAUACGUAGGGGGCAAGCGUUAUCCGGAUUUACUGGGUGUAAAGGGAGCGUAGACGGUUUGGCAAGUCUGAAGUGAAAGCCCGGGGCUCAACCCCGGUAUUGCUUUGGAAACUGUUGAACUAGAGUGCCGGAGGGGUAAGCGGAAUUCCUAGUGUAGCGGUGAAAUGCGUAGAUAUUAGGAGGAACACCAGUGGCGAAGGCGGCUUACUGGACUGUAACUGACGUUGAGGCUCGAAAGCGUGGGGAGCAAACAGGAUUAGAUACCCUGGUA